UUACGACCAUAUCACGUUGAAACACCUAUUCUCGAAAGAUCACCGACGUUAAGCAACGUCGAGUCUGGUCAAUACCUAGAUGGGUAACCGCUUGGUAACACCAGGUGCCGUAAG